UCCUCCCUACGGGGGGCAGCAGUGAGGAAUAUUGGUCAAUGGCCGAGAGGCUGAACCAGCCAAGUCGCGUGAGGGAAGACGGCCCUACGGGUUGUAAACCUCUUUUGUCGGGGAGCAAAGAGAGUCACGUGUGACUCAUUGAGAGUACCCGAAGAAAAAGCAUCGGCUAACUCCGUGCCAGCAGCCGCGGUAAUACGGAGGAUGCGAGCGUUAUCCGGAUUUAUUGGGUUUAAAGGGAGCGUAGAUGGGUUGUUAAGUCAGUUGUGAAAGUUUGCGGCUCAACCGUAAAAUUGCAAUUGAUACUG
rnacentral:rRNA from 1 species